rnacentral:tRNA from 1 species
GCCCCCGUAGCUCAAUUGAACAGAGCGGCGGACUUCUAAUCCGAAGGUUGGGGGUUUGAGUCCCUCCGGGGGUA